rnacentral:rRNA from 1 species
AUGCACAAGUUUGGGACAAGAAGCAUAUCGAUCUCUCCCGGCCCUUCGUCUCUAGCUUUUGCUUCUUCUCCGAUGGGUUAUCCGGGGAGCUUGGCCGCCCUCCUCCUCGUGGUGGCCGCCGCCGCCACGGCCGUCGUCGCCCACAACGACCACGGCGAGCACAAGAACUACCUCGUCAUCGUGCGCACGCCGUACGAGUACGACCGGAACCUGUACAAGAACGUGUCGAGCUGGCACGCCUCGCUGCUGGCGUCCGUGUGCGACCAGGCCAAGGAGCAGCUCGACGCGGACCCGGGCGCCGCGGAGCGCCUCAUCUACUCCUACCGCAACGUCAUCAAUGGCUUCGCCGCCCGCCUCACCCCCGACGAGCUGCACCGUAUGGGCGAGAAGGACUGGUUCCUCAAGGCCUUGCCGGAGCAGACCUACCAGCUCACGACCACGCACACGCCGCGGAUGCUUGGGCUCACCGGCCCCUUGUUCCACGCCGGCGUCUGGAACAGGACCAACAUGGGGGAGGGGAUGAUCAUCGGCAUCCUCGACGGCGGCAUCGCCGGCGCGCACCCGUCGUUCGACGGCACCGGCAUGCCGCCGCCGCCCGCCAAGUGGAAGGGCCGCUGCGACUUCAACCGCUCCGUGUGCAACAACAAGCUCAUCGGCGCGCGCUCCUUCUACGAGUCGGCCAAGUGGAGGUGGGAAGGGAUCGACGACCCGGUCCUGCCCAUCGACGACAGCGCGCACGGGACGCACGUGUCGAGCACGGCGGCCGGCGCGUUCGUGCCGGGAGCCAACGCCAUGGGCAGCGGCUUCGGCACGGCGGCCGGCAUGGCGCCCCGCGCGCACCUGGCCUUCUACCAGGUGUGCUUCGUGGGCAAGGGCUGCGACCGCGACGACAUACUCGCGGCGAUCGACGACGCCCUCGACGAGGGCAUCGACGUGCUCUCCAUGUCGCUCGGCGCUGAUGACGCCGGAGACUUCGCCGCCGACCCCAUUGCGCUGGGGGGAUUCAGCAGCGUCAUGAGAGGCGUCUUCGUCUGCACAUCGGCUGGGAACCAAGGCCCGUCCCCGGCCACAGUUGCCAACGAGGCCCCGUGGCUGCUCACCGUGGCUGCGGCCACAACUGACCGGACUUUCUCUGCGGACGUCAAGUUUGGCAAUGGGCUUGUGGUCAACGGCGAAUCGCACUACCAGCCGAGCACCUACAUGAGCGUGCAGCAGCCGUUGGUGAUUGACACUGCCCCCGACGGCACGUGCUCGGACAAGACCGUCCUAACGGCCAAGCAAGUCGCCGGAAAGAUAGUCCUUUGCAUCUCCGGCGGCAACCUGACCAACCUCGAGAAGGGAAGCAUCCUGCACGACGCCGGCGCUAUCGCCAUGAUCAUCGUUCAACCGGAGGAGUCUGGCUUGGUGAUCUUACCCAAGGCGCAUGCCCUCCCAGCAACGCAAGUAGAAUCCAAGUGGUCGGACAAGAUCAUGGCGUACGUGAAUUCCACGCAGAGCCCGACCGCCCAGCUGGUCUUCAAAGGGGCGUUGCUCGGCAACCGCAUGGCGCCGGUCGUGGCGCCAUUCUCGUCACGGGGCCCGAGCAGGCAAAACCAGGGGAUUCUCAAGCCCGACAUCACCGGCCCGGGAGUGAACAUCAUCGCCGCCGUCCCCAUGCCCAACGGGCUCGCCCAGCCGCCCAACGAGAUGGCGUACAAGUUCGACAUCAUGUCCGGCACGUCCAUGUCCACGCCGCACAUCAGCGGGGUCGCCGUGCUGAUCAAGAAAGCGCACCCGACCUGGUCGCCGGCGGCCAUCAAGUCGGCCAUGAUGACGACGACCGACACGAGGGACGGCCGCCGGAUGCCGAUGCUGGACCAGGACGGGCUGCCGGCCAACUUGAUUUCGAUGGGCGCCGGCUACAUCAACCCCACCAGAGCCAUGAAUCCCGGGCUCGUGUACAACCAAAGCGCCCAUGACUACAUCCCGUACCUGUGCGGGCUCGGCUACAACGACCACGAGGUGAGCUCGAUCAUCCACCCGGCGCCGCCGCUGUCGUGCAAGCAGCUGCCGGUGAUCCACCAGAAGGACCUCAACUACCCGUCCAUCACCGUCUACCUCGACAAGGAGCCGUACGUCGUGAACGUCAGCCGCGCCCUCACGAACGUCGACAACGACGUAGGGGUGUACGCCGCGUCCGUCGAGCUCCCGCCGUCGCUGUCGGCGAAGGUGACGCCGGACAUACUCGGGUUUAGGGACGUGAACCAGGUGCAGACAUUCACGGUGACCAUCAGGACCAAGGACGGGCAGAAGAUGAAGGAGCGCAUCGCGGAAGGGCAGCUCAAGUGGGUCUCGCGCAAGCACGUCGUGCGUAGCCCCAUCCUCGUAUCUUCCAAGAAGUUCUUCAAAGAAAACUCGAUGGCUAAUAAUGGCCAGCGCGUGGGUGAUUCGUAG